rnacentral:rRNA from 1 species
AUUGAACGCUGGCGGCAGGCCUAACACAUGCAAGUCGAGCGAGCGGCGGACGGGUGAGUAAUGUAUGGGGACUGCCCGAUAGAGGGGGAUAACUACUGGAAACGGUACCUAAUCCCCCAUACUAUCGGAUAACCCAUAUGGUAUUAGCUAGUAGGUGAGGUAAUGGCUCACCUAGGCGACGAUCCCUAGCUGGUCUGAGAGGAUGAUCAGCCACACUAGGACUGGAACACGGCCCGGACGCCUGCGGAGGCAGCAGUGGGAAAUAGUGCACAGUAGGCGCGAGCCUGGUGCAGCCAUGCCGCGUGUAUGAAGAAGACCCUGGGGUUGUGAAGUACUUUCAGGCGGGAGGCGUUACCGACAGAAGAAGCACCGGCUAACUCCGUGCCAGCCGCCGCGGUAAUAC